GGGCGUAAAGCGUGCGCAGGCGGUUUUGUAAGUCUGUCGUGAAAUCCCCGGGCUCAACCUGGGAACUGCGCUUAUGACUGGCAAGCUAGAGUACGGCAGAGGGGGGUGGAAUUCCACGUGUAGCAGUGAAAUGCGUAGAGAUGUGGAGGAACACCAAUGGCGAAGGCAGCCCCCUGGGUCGAUACUGACGCUCAUGCACGAAAGCGUGGGUAGCAAACAGGAUUAGAUACCCUGGUAGUCCACGCCCUAAACGAUGUCAACUAGGUGUUGGGAGGGUAAACCUUUUAGUACCGGAGCUAACGCGUGAAGUUGACCGCCUGGGGAGUACGGCCGCAAGGUUAAAACUCAAAGGAAUUGACGGGGACCCGCACAAGCGGUGGAUGAUGUGGAUUAAUUCGAUGCAACGCGAAAAACCUUACCUACCCUUGACAUGUCCAGGAGCCUGAAGAGAUUUGGGUGUGCCCGAAAGGGAACUGGAACACAGGUGCUGCAUGGCUGUCGUCAGCUCGUGUCGUGAGAUGUUGGGUUAAGUCCGCAACGAGCGCAACCCUUGUCAUUAGUUGCUACGAAAGAGCACUCUAAUGAGACUGCCGGUGACAAACCGGAGGAAGGUGGGGAUGACGUCAAGUCCUCAUGGCCCUUAUGGGUAGGGCUUCACACGUCAUACAAUGGUACAUACAGAGGGCCGCCAACCCGCGAGGGGGAGCUAAUCCCAGAAAGUGUAUCGUAGUCCGGAUUGUAGUCUGCAACUCGACUACAUGAAGUUGGAAUCGCUAGUA
rnacentral:rRNA from 1 species